UUGUUAUCCUUUGUAUGACUUUGUCUUCCUUUGUAUGACUUUGUCCUCAUUUGUAUGACUUUGUCCUCCUUUGUAUGGCUUUGUUUUUCUUUGUAUGGCUUUGUUUUUCUUUGUAAGGCUUUGUCCUCCUUGGUAUGAAUUUGUUUUUCUUUGUAUGGCUUUGUCUUCCUUUGUAUGGCUUUGUCCUCCUUUGUAUGGCUU